GCCGGUUUGGCUCAGUGGAUAGAGCGUCGGCUUGAGGACUGAAGGGCCCCAGGUUCGAGUCCCGAAAAGGGCA
rfam:Myotis lucifugus cont2.63900, whole genome shotgun sequence.